GAAGCUGUCUUCGAGCAGUGUAGGAAAGCAGAGCAGAUUCUGAGUGCUUCAGUAGCUCAACAGCCUGUCCUGGCGUGGUGGAGAGGCAGGCAGACAAUUGAGACAGAUGUGGAAUCCAGUGUUCGGCGUAGCAGGAAUAGUCAGGCGUGCGGCAAGUCUGAGCACAAAGAAAUACAAGAUAAGCAUAAACACACAUUAACAAGACAUCAAAAGUUGUCUUUCUAGACUCUAGUGUUACUGGAUAGGAUAACCAACAAACUAGCGAAAUCCAGAGUGAGGAACCAGGGUAUAAGUACUGCAGAGUCUUGAUUGGUGGAUGAGCCUCAGGUGUGCAGCAGGUAGUGAGAGAGGACCAGGUGGGUGGUGAUUGGCAUUAGAGAGAGGAUGGCCACACUCUGGGACAUACAUACAUACAUACAUACAUACAUACAAGGGAGAGACAAACGGGGGACUCACAAGGCACAGGGGAAUGGAGAAAAUAAGGGCCCCAGGCUCAUCAGCAAGACCCCAGACCUACUUUGCAGCUCCUAACAUGACCCACACAUUGACUGCUGUAAAAUCCAUGUCUUCAAACUAAUUAGAUGGACACAGAACGCAAUUAGGGCAACUGAUAAUUAAUGCUGUGACUAAAUAUGUGCCUGGAAGAUCUUCUGGAUCACAGCCACAGUGGAACAGAUACAGUUGUGGAAGCUCCUCCCAGCAAGGAUGUGAGAGAGAGAUGCGAGGACAGAGGAGCCGAAGCUGCCAAAUGAGAAAUCCUUGGUUCUGUAGCGUCAGUCUUAAGCGACGUCAGAUACUUAUGAUGUGCUGCACAGCUGUAUCAUCUGUCAAACCGAAAACCUUACAGUGUCUUUCAUAGAUAGAUACAGAGAUAGAGAGAGAUACAGUAUAUGACAAUCUCUUAUAGGCAUAUGAAAGUCUUACAUACACAAGAAACCUUUAUUCAUUUAGAUUUUUAAAUUAACAUAGCCAAUUAUUAGUAGUACUAUUACUGUUGUUGCUUUUAAU